UGUCUUUAACGGUGCAAUAUUGUGGCUUACAAGAAACCAGAGACUCCUCGAUGGGGUAGUUCAGGUGAUUCUCGCGUCAUGUCUGUCACAAAGAAAACCAUGUUCGUGUUUAUUUUUUUAUUGGCUGUUGAAACCGUAAGAAGCAAUCAUUUGGCAUCAAAUACCACAAUUGAUUGUCCAGAACCCUGUGAAUGCAAGUCAGUGGAAGUUAACUGCAGGGGAAAAGAACUUAAAUCAUUUCCACGGAAA